rnacentral:rRNA from 1 species
GACGAACGCUGGCGGCGUGCUUAACACAUGCAAGUCGAACGGAAAGGCCCUGCUUUUGUGGGGUGCUCGAGUGGCGAACGGGUGAGUAACACGUGAGUAACCUGCCCCUGACUUUGGGAUAACUUCAGGAAACUGGGGCUAAUAUCGGAUAGGAGCUCCUGCUGCAUGGUGGGGGUUGGAAAGAUUCGGCGGUUGGGGAUGGACUCGCGGCUUAUCAGCUUGUUGGGGGGGUAGUGGCUUACCAAGGCUUUGACGGGUAGCCGGCCUGAGAGGGUGACCGGCCACAUUGGGACUGAGAUACGGCCCAGACUCCUACGGGAGGCAGCAGUGGGGAAUAUUGCACAAUGGGCGGAAGCCUGAUGCAGCAACGCCGCGUGCGGGAUGACGGCCUUCGGGUUGUAAACCGCUUUCGCCUGUGACGAAGCGUGAGUGACGGUAAUGGGUAAAGAAGCACCGGCUAACUACGUG